UACGUAGGGGGCUAGCGUUGUCCGGAUUUAUUGGGCGUAAAGAGCGUGUAGGCGGCCAGGUAGGUCUGGUGUGAAAACUCGAGGCUUAACCUCGAGAUGUCAUCGGAAACCAUCUGGCUAGAGUCCGGAAGAGGAGAAUGGAAUUCCUGGUGUAGCGGUGAAAUGCGCAGAUAUCAGGAAGAACACCCGUGGCGAAGGCGGUUCUCUGGGACGGUACUGACGCUGGAGACGCGAAAAGCGUGGGGAGCGAACAGG
rnacentral:rRNA from 1 species